UCUUUCUUCAGCGUGCGUUCGCGUUUCACAUUUUUUUUUAUUGUUUGUGCUUUGAUUUUGUAGUUGAAACUUAAAAGAGUGUUUUAGUUUAUUAUAUUUUUAUUACAGUGUGUGUUGCCACAAAGCAAACAAGUGUGAAUAAGAAUAAAUAAAGCUGCCAGAGGAGCAGAAGCAGCAACAGAAACAGCAGCCACAACAGAAUGAGGAUUAAAAACCAUAAAUCGAAACUAACAAAAGCAAACUAAUCGCAUUAUCGGAAUAUGUUCGCAACACGCUCAAUUUAAGCUAGACAACAGAGAGAAAGAAAGAGAGAGGGAGAGAGGUUUGAGGUGAGUUUGCAAUUAAAUCAAAAACUAAAUGUGCAUCAAAAAAUUACAAAAAUAAUAAAAGAAGAAGAGAGAGAGAGA